AUGUCGAACACAGACAAGGAGAUCGUGACGGCAGCAGCGGGAGCACCGAUGCUGAUGAUGGGGGCGUCGCAAUUCCCCCGUCUGGAUCGAGAGGACUACACACUAUGGGCGAUGAACAUGGAGGUCACGAUGAAGGGAGCCGAGCUCUGGGAAGCCGUCGACCCCGGCGGAGCCGAGUACGCGAAGGGCGCGGCGAAGUACCGGAAGGAUCGUCAAGCGUUAACGGCAAUCUACUCCGUCAUGCCGAAGGAUGUGCUGCAACACCUCGUCAGAAAGAACUCGGCGAAGGAGGCAUGGGAGACCAUCAAGAUCCUGCACCAGGGUCAUGACCGUGUCAAGGAAGCACACCUUCAGUCCCUGAUGAGAAGCUAUGAGUGCCUAAAGAUGGAUGAAAGUGAGACGGUUGAUCAGUUUGCCGCCCGUGUCAAGACCCUCGUCAACGGCAUACGCAACUAG
rnacentral:rRNA from 1 species